GACGAACGCUGGCGGCGUGCUUAACACAUGCAAGUCGAACGCUGAAGCUUGGUGCUUGCACUGGGUGGAUGAGUGGCGAACGGGUGAGUAAUACGUGAGUAACCUGCCCUUGACUCUGGGAUAAGCCUGGGAAACUGGGUCUAAUACUGGAUACGACAUGUCACCGCAUGGUGGUGUGUGGAAAGGGUUUUACUGGUUUUGGAUGGGCUCACGGCCUAUCAGCUUGUUGGUGGGGUAAUGGCUCACCAAGGCGACGACGGGUAGCCGGCCUGAGAGGGUGACCGGCCACACUGGGACUGAGACACGGCCCAGACUCCUACGGGAGGCAGCAGUGGGGAAUAUUGCACAAUGGGCGGAAGCCUGAUGCAGCGACGCCGCGUGAGGGAUGACGGCAUUCGGGUUGUAAACCUCUUUCAGCACGGAAGAAGCGAAAGUGACGGUACGUGCAGAAGAAGCGCCGGCUAACUACGUG
rnacentral:rRNA from 1 species